rnacentral:rRNA from 1 species
UACGGAGGUGGCAAGCGUUGCUCGGAAUCACUGGGCGUAAAGGGCUCGUAGGCGGCCAACUAAGUCGGACGUGAAAUCCCCAGGCUCAACCUGGGAAACUGCGUCCGAUACUGGAUGGCUUGAAUCCGGGAGAGGGAUGCAGAAUUCCAGGUGUAGCGGUGAAAUGCGUAGAGUAUACUGGAGGAAUACCGGUGGCGAAGGCGGCA